rnacentral:rRNA from 1 species
CCUACGGGUGGCAGCAGUCUAUAAUCAUUCACCCUUUCCUCCCCCCUUCUCGUUCUACUCCUCGUUGUGGAAUGAAGGUCUUCGGAUUGUAAACCCCUGUCAUGUGGGAGCAAAUUAAAAAGAUAGUACCACAAGAGGAAGAGACGGCUAACUCUGUGCCAGCAGCCGCGGUAAUACAGAGGUCUCAAGCGUUGUUCGGAAUCACUGGGCGUAAAGCGUGCGUAGGCUGUUUCGUAAGUCGUGUGUGAAAGGCGCGGGUUCAACCCGCGGACGGCACAUGAUACUGCGAGACUAGAGUAAUGGAGGGGGAACCGGAAUUCGCGGUGUAGCAGUGAAAUGCGUAGAUAUCGAGAGGAACACUCGUGGCGAAGGCGGGUUCCUGGACAUUAACUGACGCUGAGGCACGAAGGCCAGGGGAGCGAAAGGGAUUAGAUACCCGAGUAGUC